GGAGAAGUUCUCUCGGCAGAGCAAGUUACAAGGUUUUGAGGUACCCUCGUCGCAGAGAGUGGUUUUUGAUUUUUGAAAUGUUAGAUUGUGAGGGAUGGAAAGUGACCGUUAGCAGUGAAGUAGGAAGUGAAUUGGGUAAGGUGAAGGAGUAAGCCAGACAGACUGAAUAAUCUCUGCAACUGCAAGGUACAGCCGCUUGACGCUUCACUGCGGUGAUCAAGAAUUAAAAGCCCAUUUCAACCUCACCUCUAUAUGUAUAGAAAUGACCAAAUAAACACAAACCAAAAACCAUAUGCACCCAACCCAGAAGGGGUGGCUCCUCCUAUCAAUCCAGAUCAUUCUCCUCAUUGCCCUUAGCUCAUUUUCUCUCUCUUCAGCCACCAUCGCCACCAUUUACCCUCUCUAUAAACUGCCCACCACCAUAUCAAAAUUCCCGACAAGAAACUCUCUGGGCUUGAAUUCUUGAGGUUAUAGCUAACCUCACUUUUCAUUUUGAAGCAAUCAAUGAUAAACUGGCGCACUUUAA
rnacentral:misc_RNA from 1 species